AGCCAUUUCCACGACAGGUUGAUGCUUCUUCUUUUUUGAAACUAAGGUUGAUGCUUCUUGUCCGUUUACUUGGAGCUUGUGGCAUCUCUGCAUCUCUGAAGAUCAGCUUAUGAAGCUGUCAUGUCCCUAAUGCUGGCAGCAAACUCAUUGAACUCAUCUAUAGUUUAAUUUCAGAUCUAGAUCAUGAGAUCAGUGAGCUAGCAAUGAAACCGCAGCUUUGCAAAGGCAACAAUUGGCUCUGCACGUUCACCUGCACUUAGUGUCUUCCGGAAAUUGCAAUCUCAAGAUAACCCUCAUGAUGUUCUCUUUGUUAGUGCAUUAGGUGCUCCUAACGAAGCUGGCCACAUUGCUAUGUUUCAAUUCUUGGCAGCAAGAAUCUGCAUGGCAGUUCAGUCUACUGCUGAGUCUUGCUGUACGUGCAUAUUAUAACACUUAUUUAAUGGAUAAUUACUAAUUAGUGAUUGCAUCAACAUCUAUUAUAUUUAUUUUGGCCCUUCUGAGAUGGCCUUCAGCC
rnacentral:lncRNA from 1 species